rnacentral:lncRNA from 1 species
AAAAUGCUAUUUGUACCUCUUAGUGGCACCCCACCUAGAGGUGGGGAAGUCAAAUUGUGGACCUUGCUCAACUUUUACAAUGAAGUAGGACACAUAGAAGACAUCAAGUGUUUUACGGUGCUGGAGAUGGAGGUAUCUUAGGAAUGGAGCCUAUCUCUAAACACCGAUGUUCAUUAUAUGCAUCUUAAACGCAUAGCCUGAAGAUACUUAGACAGUCCUUCAGUGGUUUUGUGCAUGGAAGUAGUCUUAUGGUGUGGAAUUUUCUUUGUGGUGCCAUAUCAGUAUUUAAGAAGUUAUGGAAUUUUGAGCAUUUUGAAUUUUGGAUUAUCCUGGCUUAACCUGUAUUGAGGCUGGGCUGUGUUAGAAUCUGCGCUGUGUAUGAUGUGCCCCAACAUCAAAACAAUGACAAAAAUAACCCACGUGUUCACUGCAACAACUAACCCUCACACACACAGAAGACAGCACAAGAGGACACGCGGGCUAUUAUUAGGGUCAGUAUUUGUCUUGCUGUUGGAUUCAGUCAAAAGUUUAAGACACACUGUUUACAUUUUCUAUCCUUGUGGGCCCCAGAUCAGCAUUUGGCAUCACCUGGGAACUUGUUAGUAGUUGGACUCUCAGGUCCUACGUAGACCUACUGGCUCAGGGUGGCAUUCAGUAAGACCUUCAGCUGAUAUGUACCCAUAGAUGCUGGAGGUCUGGCCUGGAGGAUGCCUGCCCAGUUCUAUUAGUGGCCUUUUUUAGUUGCUGAGUUUUCAUGGCUCGUUCUUGCCCGUUGAAGCUCAUCUUUGAACAUGGCCCUGGCAGCCUUCUCUCUUUCAGGGAGAUAGAAAGACAGGCUAACUCACCAGGCAGAAUUCUGACAAAAACAACGCCAAGACCAAAAAAACCCAAACCCCCCCCCAAGAACCCUGUGUUUACAUUUGAGGAUGCUUUUAUGGCUGUGGACCUAGAGGUACAAAGAGACCACAGGCUACCUGUGGGCCAUGAAGCCACAUGGAGAAACAUGUGCAGCUGGGUUUUAAACCUACUGUUGUUAGACACUUGGGGGAACUGACAUUUUAGAAAGUUUGAAGACUUCUUUCCUCACAGAACUUCUGAACUGCUGGGUAGAAAAAUGUUCUCAUCAGAAAAAUCUGAGCAAGGAAAAACAGCCCAGGCCUCCUAGUGUCCUGGUUCAUUUGCAUUGGGGGAGGAGCUUUGUCUGGGGAAUAGUUUUAUUUUGUAAAGGCAGCUUAAAAGCAUUCCAUAUCUAUUUAUGAAUAGAAAAAGACUUAGAAACGUUCAUUUAUUUGCCUUGUCUCCUGUGUGUGUGUGUGUGUGUGUGUGUGUGUGUGUGUUAUAUUCUGCCUGCUGUGUACUUCACCAGUUUCUAUAUCUUCAAGUCGUCCUCUUCCUUAGGAUCUUGGCCAAAUUCCUCCUCCUCUGAGCUGCUUUUCCUUUUCCUGGAGGCUUCUGUCAUUUGAAAACUCUGCCUCUUGAGCUCGGUUUUCUUCGUAGGGGUUUUUUGUUGUUGUUGUUUGCUUAUCCCUCAAGAGUACUGAACAUAUUGGAAGAGCUCACAAAAUAUUUGUUGAAUGAAGUAAUCCAUACUUGAGAUCCGCUCUGUCUUUGAAGGUUGCAGGUUACCUCUAAGAAGAAACUAAUGUUUAGUCCCUCUCUGCUGAUUCAACCUUUUCCGAGUUGUCCCAUUACUUUGGAAAACCCUUUUGGUGCACAAAGAGAUGUGAAAAACAUGUAGAAAUAUAUUACGCCGCACCUUUGGGAGGAUUUUAAGCUGUUGUUCACUACAGCUCUCUAGAGGAUGCUCGGUUGGGGAAUGUCUAGCAGUAGGUAGCAGGAGAGUGGAAGUGAGAACUGGGUAGUGAAACCAACUGUUCUCAGACUGGUUGGCUCUGCUCUACCACAGGAUGGGGGCUCCUGCACCACACUCCUGUGUACUGCAUCUUGGAUAUCACCAAAAUAGGCAACAUCUGUGUGUCUUUUUCCUCUUUUGUAGACUAGGUAUAAAAAUGCAGGCUGAGGGGUGGGGUGGGGCUGGGAGACGCCUCAGUCAGUAAAGUGCUUGCUAUGGCAAGAAGGAAGACCUGAGUUCAAUCCCCUGAGCCACACAAAAAGUGAGGUAUCAUGCUUCAUGUUGGCAUUCCCAAAGCUGGGGAGUGGGAGACAGCUCCCAGGAACUCACUGGUCAGUCAGCGUGUCUUGGUCAUCGAUCCCCAGAUUAAAUGGAGAGAGCUUCUCUCAGAAACAAAACAAAACACCCAACAAACCCAACCAGAUUGAGUUUCCUGAGGAGCAGCACUCAAGGUUGACCUGUGGCCUCUGCGCAUGCGCACAUGUCCUUUCUUCCCACCUGCUAUGGAUUGUUGUGACCAACGAUCUAUGUAAGCAGGCUGGGAAAAAAAAUGAUUU